CAAACAAACAAACAAACAAACAAACAAAACAGCAAAAUAUUCCCUCCAAUUUUGAAAACGUGAUUUAAAUAAACACGUUUGCAAGCACCUUUUUCAUUUUUUUGCUUCUCUGCAGAUAAUUUCGGAGUGAUACCUCAAAUCACUUUAGAAAUUAAAAUUUUGAACAAUCUCGUUCUUAGGUUGUUUACUGGAUUACCUCUAAAAAUUGGCUAAUUUAUGAGUUAUUUUGCUUCUAUUAACCCAUUACCCGAUAGACACGCCUUUUAACGCCUUUUUCACUCCCCUUUUAUUGUUGUCUCAAAUGGUGAAAAUGCCUUAAUUAGGCUCUCAACACUUGUUUUUGUUUGAGAAAUGUUGUUUAAAAAAGUGACCACUUUUUCGGCGCCCCCCAACCAAAAGAUACAUCAGGGGGUUGCCAGAAGGAAGAUGUGCCCCUUUCUGUUUGGGGGGUUUGAAGGGACGGUAGUCCCCCUCAUCACCAAGAAAAUUUUGGACUUGUAAGAGGCUAAAAAUGACCCCAGAUCGAUCAUAAGGUAACGUGUAACGAACGCUGACAAGCAUUUGACUCUAUCUCAAUCCAUUGAGAAGUUGCAGCAUUUUGAAAUCAAUUUUGAUGGAAAAAAGCAAUUUUGAAAUGUCCCCUCGUUGCCAUGGUAACAGGACAUUUAAGCCAGGGCUUGUUGUUACAAAGGCAAUGGCAAAGUCAAUAUUUGUGACAAGUUUGAUCAGUAUUGAAGCAGUUUUUAUAGUUUUAUAGCAAUUUGAACUUGUAACGGGAGACUUUUCAAUGAAAACAGCCAUUUUUCACAAAAUGCUCAUGAAGUAACGGAUUAAGCUUCUAUAUCACUUCUAUACCAUAUGUUACCGUUUUCUAUACAUUCGUGUUUUAGAAAAGAUUUAGGUGGUCUUAAUAUAUUGCAUAUUUACAUAUAUUAAUAUUUUUUUAUGGGUCAAAAUUGGCCCCACCCCCAGGGGUCAUUGAUUUUUACUAUGUACAUAUAGUAAAAAAUUAAAAAAUCUUAUUGUCUGAAGUUACAAGGCUUAGAGCUUUGAUAUUUGGUAUAUGAUAUCAUCUAUAGGUACUCUACCAAAGUUGUUCAAAUUUUGCCUAUAGUGUCAAAACUAGCCCUGCCCCGGGGUCAUAGGUUUUCUUUACAUGUAUAUACUAAAAACUUUAAAAAAUCACCUUCUCGAAUUGACAAAGGCUAGAGGUGAGACAUUUUGCAGUAAACAUUGUGUAGUUAAACUUUAGCAAGAUUAUUCAAAUUAAAGCCCUUGGGUCAAAACAAAAAAAAAUUGUUCCUACAUUACUAUUUUAGUGUUGUAUUUAUGCGGUGGCAUAGCAUUUUUUACAAAUGCAAUCUUGUUUUUUCAUUUAUUCAUUUCACGGAACAUUUCAUAUAUUUUGUGACCUAGUUAAACAUAUUUAACCUACAUUUUGCGUAAGACAUUGAUAUCGAAGCAAUAUAAUAAAGUUUCAAUGUGUAAAUAAUCUGACUGAUGGAUGUAUACCUGUUUGUAUUUAAUAUAAUUUAUUUGUAAUUGACACGAUGAGGUAAGAUUGUUUUCUGAUAAAAAUGACAAUAAUCAAGUGAUUUAUUUACAUGUAGGCAGUUCAUUUUUUGAACCAUCAAUGUAAUGUUUUUACUUUCUCUGUUUGCUCAAAAUACCUAAUAUAAUACUUCUACAGUGUGCGUCUAAACAUGCUUAUAUUACCUUGAUGUAGUGUUGUUUUUAAAUGACUGAAUGUAUUGUUAUAUUCUCGCAUUUCUGGUUUCAUUACGUAUAAACACAAAAUAUUAUAAAUUUAUCAUUUAUUUAACUGUGUAUUACUUAUUAAUUUUAUUUCUUGUAUGUAUACAUAUACCUGUAAUUUCGAACGAUUAAAUGCGGAAAUGUUGUUGUCGUUUUGAUUGUAAUAUUUAUAUGUACUUUUACGGAUCCCAGCGAACUUUGUUCGAGAUUCUCCGGUUCGUAAAUCUCUCGUAAAAAAUUGAAACGAUUUGAAUACCUACCCAUUAUUGGUACGCGUUUAACUUUUGAGGCAUGGAGGAGCACGUGACCUGUUUUCGGUACAUGGAGGAGCAUGUGAUCUGUAAACCGUACAUGAUUGGUUAAUUGACCUUUUCGAUAACCUGGCUAAAUACCGUUUGCCGGUACGUUACGGAUAGUCCUCUAGGGAAUUAGUCAGAAUUACACCUAAUUAAGAACAAAAAUUAUUACGUGACAUUUCUAAUUUUCUAUAAUUAUGUUACCGUUUAAGGUGGAAAAACUUGAAUGAUGUGUUUGAAAAUUAUCUAUGUUUCUUUAUUAUGUAUCUCAAAAUUUUACAAACAAUAAAUUGUUUAUACUGAAAAUCUACAAAAUUAAAAUAUUCGUAGUGGCACCUGCCAUAAUAAAUAGAGAUAUUUUCUGCGUAAACUUGUGUGUUUACCUUAUUUGUUUUAUUUAUUUAUUUUGCUCGGAAUUAUUCAUAAAAUGGUAGGCCUAUUUAAUCAUUUUCUUAAAAAAGAAAUAAUUGUUUUAUUUUCGACCUUCUCCGGUCAUCAACGGUCACCAGUUUCCGAAGACCUUCUCCUUUAUUGAUCUAUAUUCCUGAUACAAACGAUUAUUUAUCCCCCCCCCCACAAAAAAAAUGUUGAAAUAGUUAAAUGAAAUAUUUUAAUAUCAUUAAAAAUAUUCCCCGCAGGAAACCAUUGUACUUGUUAACUUUUUGAAGGAAUUGUAUCCGUUCGUACCUGUAUUAUUUGCAUUUUUGAAUAGCGAUAAUUGUAUGUUUAUAACACAGAAUUUUAUCUGUAGACUUUAAUUAAGCCUUGAUAUUGACUGGUUGCAAAAUGCAAUUGCAAUUACAAUAUUUUUAAUCUUCCAGGCAGGAAUAGAGAGCAGAAGAUUAACUUUAGCUUUAGAACCGGAGUCAGCGUCGAUAUAUUGUCGCCAUCAAAAUAUAUCAGCAGGGAACAAAGAAACAAGAGACAAAGAUAUUUCUUGCUUGGAAGAAGGAACAAGAUACAUGAUCAUAGAUGCAGGAGGUGGAACAAUUGAUAUUACAAUUCACAAAGUCGGUGAGAAUGGUAAUAUGAAAGAAGUACAUGCUGCCUGUGGGGGAGAUUGGGGCGGCACAGCGGUUGACAAAGAAUUUGAAACUGUACUCCUUGAAUUGAUAGGUUCGCAGAUAUUUCAUAGAUUCAAGAAUGAAAACAUGGAAGAUUAUCUCGAAUUAUGGAGAGAUUUUGAAGUGAAAAAGAAAUCAAUUACACCAUCAAGCAUUCGGGCAACCAAAAUGACCAUCCCUUUAUCUCUUAUGGAAACAUUCAAAGAUAAAACACACAAAGAUUUGGCGAAAUCUAUUUCCGAAACACACUAUGCAAAAGAUAUUGAGAUAAAAAGCGGCAACAAAAUGGCAAUUUCUGCAAAUAUGAUGAGGUCAUUCUUCACCAAUUCUAUAAACAGUAUCAUACCAUUUGUUACAACAAUACUAGAAAGUAAAAAAGUCGCAGCAAUUCUCAUGGUUGGUGGAUAUUCAGAGUCCAUUAUGCUCCAAGACGCCGUGAAAACCAAUUUUCCUGAAAUUGAGAUUGUUGUCCCGGAAGAAACCUCAUACAGCGUUAUGAAAGGAGCUAUUAUAUUUGGCUUCAUACCGACAAUUAUAUCAAAACGUGUCUUGAAGUAUACAUAUGGCGUGCGAACGACCGUAAAUUUUUUUAAGGGAAAACACCCAGAGAGCAAACGCAUGCAAACAGAUGCUGGCGACAAAUGUCAAGGUAUAUUUGACAAGCAUGUUGAGAAAGACCAAGAAGUCAAUGUUGGUGAGACACAGGUUUGGAGAGUUUAUACUCCUUUGUACAAGACACAAAAACAUUUAAACAUAUCAGUUUUUGCUUCUGAGAAAUCAAACCCGGAAUAUACGGACAAAGACUGCCAUUUUGUUGGUAAGGUGAUUGUAGAUUUGAGUGAUUCCGGUGAACUUGAUCGAAAAAUUGAAGUAGCACUUUCAUUUAGCUGUACAGAAAUCGUUGUUGCAGCUAAAGAAAUGAAAACGGGCAAAGAAACACACGCAACCAUUGAUUUUCUCGGAUAGACAGUAGCAGUUUGUUGUAUAGCAACCUAAUCAAUAUUUACUGCUAUAUAACUAUUUAACGAGCAAAUGAUAACAAAUUAAGUUCUUGAAUCUGUACAUACAACACUAUUUAAUAGACUGCAUUUUGCGUUUUGCAUAAAAUAACAAUGAUAACUGCUUAAAUUUAUGGAGUCAGUGAUCACAAAGGACCUGACAUUAUAACACCACUGAGAAGAUACGAGUUGCAACAAAACAUUUAACACUUGCUGCUGCGAAACCUGGCAUUCACAGAACAUGCAACUAUAAGACUAAAGAUUAAGAAAUAUAUUAUUUCAUAUUUAUUCGGUUCUAAAGAAAAUGCAUGUUUGGACAAGGUCCUUAAAAUAUGAGAUUUUGGAUAAAAUAAGAAGACUGUAAUGUUACUAUGAUUUUGAAUCAUUUAAAACACUUGUUACUAUAUUCAACUCACUAUGAGUGUCACAUGACUGAUUAUGAGUUUGCGAACUGAUGCCGAAAAAAAACUCAUAAUAAUUUUCAGCCGCUGAACGCGAUACGAGCACUAGAAAAAAAUUGAACAAUGACGUCACAUUUUACGUCAUCAAAACGUCUUGCUGUAAAGUGGUAAUCGGUCCUGAAAUGGAUCAUGCACUAGGACUGAAGCCCUCGGGGCCAUUAUUUAAUUUGCAGGCCGAUUAUCACCUCCGUGUAUCUCUUCUGUGUAUCAAUAGACUUGUUUCUAUAUAUAAAUAUAUAAUAGAUAAAUAUUUAUAUAUAAUAACAAGUCUAUUGAUACACAGAAGAGAUACGCGGAUAUCUAUAUACGUCAGACGACAGGUCGGAAGGUGAUAAUCAGCCCUGAACUGUAUAAUGCUUUAAGGGGUUAUUAAUCAUUUUGCGGGACCGAUUAUAACCUUCCGGCCCUACUCGGCCGUGCAUUAACCUCUAAAUAAACAACUGUAUCUUAUAGUAAUAUGCCACAGUAUUGUUAAGAAGAAUAUGAUCAGCUGUAUUGUACUAGCUCAUUGUAAUAAACAGCUUCAGACCGAUAUGUGGUAACAGAUAAUUGUUUUCCAGUUAAAUGAGUCAUUUUGCGUUGAAGAUGAACUGAAUUGUAACUUAAAGUACUGUUUUAACACAAUUAAUUAUAUUAGGGAAACUUUUUGUUUAUCUUUAAUUGUUUGUAAUUCUACAGUUGAUUAACACAUCUCUAAACCAUGUCAUGAAAUUUGUUUGUAAAACGUAAUUUAUUCCACUAGACACGUUUGAUUUUUACACGAUACUAAAUGAAUUUUCUUUUUUUAGCAUCUUAUUGUUUUCUUUUUUAUAUGUGAACGAUUCUGCUUUAUCAGAAUGUACUUAACGAUAUUAUUAUAUAGAAUUAUUUUAUAGAUAUGUCUGCUUUAUAUUGAUUUACCAAUGUUAUGAACAGCCUCCGUGGUCGAGGGGUUAGAGUCGAUGACUUCUAAUCAAGUUACCUCUCUGGCGUGGGUUCGAUCCCCGGGAUAUGCUUUGAUAGUUCAGCACGAAAGAAGGUAGUCUAGUACUGGUGUUACUCUCCAGGAACGAUGGUUAGGAAACUACCCGCCUAUUUGACUGAAAUACUGUUGGGAAAAGGCGUAAAAAUGUAACAAACAAACAAACAAAAACCAAUGUUAUGUUUAUUGAUAAGCUUAAUUUGCACUGGCCUUCUGUGCUGACAUUUGGCAGAUAACAGUAUAUUUUUUAUGCUACUUAUUCUGUCAGAGUAUUUUACGGCUAAUUAAGGUAUUACAUUGCUAAAAAGAAUAAUAUGAAUGACCACAUAAAAGCAUAUUGUUAGAAUAUUCAUCUAUCCGUUCAUGUGUGAUUUUCAGGUCUUCCACCUAAAAGCAUAUUGUUAGAAUAUUCAUCUAUCCGUUCAUGUGUGAUAUUCAGGUCAUAGAUUGAGGUCAAACUAAUAGACCGUAGAAAAAAAAACAAUUAAAAAAAUCUAAAAAUUAUUGAUUACAAGUCAUUUAUUUCACUGGAUACGUUUGCUUUUUACACGAUACUUGAAUUUUGUUUUUGAGCAUCUUAUUGUUUAGUCUUUUACGUUUGUUAAAAUAUAACUGAACGAUUCUGCAUAAUCAGAAUGUAUUUAAGGAUAUUAUAAUAUAGAAUCAUUUUAUAGAUAUGAUAUGUCUGCUUGAUAUUGAUUUACCAAUGCUAUGCUUAUUGAAAAGCUUCCAUUGUUCUUCGCCUUUGCACUGGCCUUCCGUGCUGACAUUUGGCAAUGAGGCACAACAGGUAAUAGUUGAUUUUUAUGCGACUCGUUUUGUCAGAGUAUUAUACGGCUAAUAAAGGUUUUACAUUGCUAGAAAGAAUAAUAUGAAUGACCACAUAAAAACAUAUUGUUAGAAUAUUGAUCUAUCUGUUCAUAUGUGAUAUCAAGGUCAUAUGUUAAGGUCAAACUAAGAGAUCGUAGAAAAAAAACAACAUUUAAUAUAACCAGGCAUAAAAUAUUUCCUUUAUGAGACCAAGUGUUACGCCAAACAAUAAGCCCUUGUAGCAAAUGCCUUAGUCACAGGCAGAGGUCAAAAGUCAGAUAAAACAAAUUUAUGUAUGUAUUGAUUAUUUAUUUCAUCAUGUACUGAGACAACAUAUUCACCACAAUAUGAUUGGAUUCCGUUGGAAAAGAAAUGAAAUAUGGAAUCAGAGAUUUUAGAUAGUUUUUUUACACAAUUACAUGUAUCUAUACUAGGGUCUUGGUAUCUUUAUCGGUUCAGUCUGUGCGUUUGUUAUAUUAAUUCAAAAUAAUUUUGUCCAAGAUCACUUUGUCGAUUAUCCCGUCUCUAAACGAUGUUGUGGACAAUUAUUGAUUACAAGUCAUUUAUUUCACUGGAUACGUUUGAUUUUACAUGAUACUUGAAUUUUGUUUUUGAGCAUCUUAUUGUCUGCUCUUUUAUGUUUUUUAACGAUUCUGCAUAAUCAGAAUGUAUUUAACGAUAUUAUUAUAUAGAAUCAUUUUAUAGAUAUGAUAUGUCUGCUUGAUUUUGAUUUACCAAUGUUAUGUUUAUUGAAAAGCUUCCGUUUUUCUUCGCCUUGCAUUGGCCUUCCGUGCUGACAUUUGGCAAUGUGACACAACAGGUAAUAGAAUAUUUUUAUGCGACUCGUUACGUCAGAGUAUUAUACGGCUAAUAAAGGUUUUACAUUGCUAAAAAGAAUAAUAGAAAUGACCACCUAAAAGCAUAUUGUUAGAAUAUUGAUCUAUCUGUUCAUGUGUGAUAUCCAGGUUAUAUGUUAAGGUCAAACUAAGAGAUCGUAGAAAAAGGAAUUAAAUAUAACCAGGCAUAAAAUAUUACCUUUAUGAGACCAAGUGUUACGCCAAACAAUAAGCCCUUGUAGCAAAUGCCUUAGUCACAGGCAGAGGUCAAAAGUCAGAUAAAACAAAUUUAUGUAUGUAUUGAUUAUUUAUUCAUGAUGUACUGAGACUACAUGUUCACCACAAUAUGGUUUGUUUCCGUUGGAAAAGAAAUGAAAUAUAGAAUAAAAAGACUUUUAGGUAGCCUUUUAACACAAUUAUGUACAUCUAUACUAGGGUCUGGGUAUUUUUAUCGGUUCAGUCUGUGCGUUUGUUAUAUUGAUUCGAAAUAAUUUUGUCCAAAAUCAUUUUGUCGAUUAUCCCAUCUCUAAACGAUGUCGUGGAAAAUUAUUGAUUACAAAUCAUUUAUUUCAUUGAAAACGUUUGAUUUUUACACGAUACUUGAAUUUUGUUUUUGAUCAUCUUAUUGUUUACUCUUUUAUGUUUGUUAAAAGAUAACUUAACGAUUCUGUAUAAUCAGAAUGUAUUUAACGAUAUUAUAAUAUAGAAUCAUUUUAUAGAUAUGAUAUGUCUGCUUGAUAUUGGUGUACCAAUGUUAUGUUUAUUGAAAAGCUUCCUUUGUUCUUCGCCUUUGCAUUGGCCUUCUGUGCUGGCAUUUGGGAAUGAGACACAACAGGUAAUAGAAGAUUUUUAUGCGACUUAUUUUGUCAGAGUAUUAAACGGCUAAAUAAGGUUUUACAUUGCUGAAAAGAAUAAAAGGAAUGGCCACAUAAAAGCAUAUUCUUAGAAUAUUCAUCUAUCCGCUCAUAUAUGAUAUCCAGGUCAUAGGUUAUGGUCAAACUAAAAGAUCGUAGAAAAAAGCAUUUAAUAUUACCAGGCAUAAAAGAUUACCUUUGUGAGGCUUAGUGUUACGCCAAAAUAUAAGGCCCCCGAAGCAAAGGCCAUGGUCACAGGCAAAGGUCAAAAGUCACAUGAAACAAAUGUAUGUAUGUAUUGAUUAAUUAGUCACCAUGUACAGUGACUACAUAUUCACCACAAUAGGAUCAAGUGUGUGUGACGGGUACAUUUGUAAAAUUUGUUGCCAUUUGUUGUAACAUUUGUUAAUAAUAAUUCAAUGGUUAUAGUUUGUCAUGAGUUAACGACAGUUGCCUGUUAUUUAGUAUCAAACAUGUAUUGGAGAAGUUUGAUAAUAUUGUUAUAAUUAUUUUUAUCAGCAUCAUAAGUUUUACUUAUUGGACAUGUAUUUCGGAAAAAAGUAGUAAAGCAUCAAUUGUGCAAUUGAAUUUACAAUUUGCAUUUGCUUCAAGCAGUAGUUAGUUUAUUACCGUAGCCAUAUUGAAUGGUUUAUUUACAUAGGUUAUUGUUAAGCGGCAUAUGUUUUUUGUUUAUGUUUUAAGACUUUCUUUCAAAAAGGUGACUUUUAAAUGGAGAGCAUUUUUAAAUGAAUAACAUUAAAACAUGUUCCAUGCGUAAGACAAGUGUAGUGUGUAUUACUUUUUAGCUCGACUAUUCGAUAAGAAUAAGUAGAGCUAUUGCAGUCACCCGAGCGUCGGCGUCGGCGUCGGCGUAACCACUUAUGUUAAAGUUUUUGUAAUAGUUCAAAUAUUUUCAAAGUCCAUUGACAUAUGGCUUUGAAACUUUGCACACUUGUUCACCAUCAUGACCCCAACCUGUAGACAGGAGGAGGUAAACUCUAUCAAGCAUU